rnacentral:rRNA from 1 species
GACGAACGCUGGCGGCGUGCUUAACACAUGCAAGUCGAACGGUAAGGCUCCAGCUUGCUGGGGUACACGAGUGGCGAACGGGUGAGUAACACGUGGGUGACCUGCCCUUCACUUCGGGAUAAGCCUGGGAAACUGGGUCUAAUACCGGAUAGGACUGCACCGUGAGGGUGUGGUGGAAAGUUUUUUCGGUGUGGGAUGGGCCCGCGGCCUAUCAGCUUGUUGGUGGGGUAAUGGCCUACCAAGGCGGCGACGGGUAGCCGGCCUGAGAGGGUGGACGGCCACAUUGGGACUGAGACACGGCCCAGACUCCUACGGGAGGCAGCAGUGGGGAAUAUUGCACAAUGGGCGGAAGCCUGAUGCAGCGACGCCGCGUGGGGGAUGACGGCCUUCGGGUUGUAAACUCCUUUCACCAUCGACGAAGGGUUUCUGACGGUAGAUGGAGAAGAAGCACCGGCUAACUACGUG